rnacentral:rRNA from 1 species
UACAGAGGUCUCAAGCGUUGUUCGGAUUCAUUGGGCGUAAAGGGUGCGUAGGUGGCGCCAUAAGUCGGGUGUGAAAUUUCGGAGCUUAACUCCGAAACUGCAUUUGAUACUGUGGUGCUUGAGGACUGGAGAGGAGACUGGAAUUUACGGUGUAGCAGUGAAAUGCGUAGAGAUCGUAAGGAAGACCAGUGGCGAAGGCGGGUCUCUGGACAGUUCCUGACACUGAGGCACGAAGGCCAGGGGAGCAAACGGG